ensembl:lncRNA
AUUUUCAAGUAUAUUAAAGGAGAAAUCUGUUGUUUUAAAUUGUAAUAAUUUUUCACAAUAUUACAGUUUUUACUGUAUUCUUGUGUGUGUGUUGAAAAGUGAUCCCCAUUGCUCUAGAAAGAAAAAUAACAAAACAAAACAAAACAAAAACAGUUUCUAAGUGCUACAAGCACACACAUCAGAAUGAGCUGUCAUGAAGUCUGGAGGGCUGGGCGCAGUGUAAUGAGUGUGUGUUUGUGUGUAGGAUGAAUAGUGCAUCAGGAUGGCUGUGAAAUAUCCAACAUGUAUAAUCUGCUUUGGGCUGGGUAGCUAAAUAAAUAUUCUAAUAACAAGUACCACUAAUGGGAUGGAUUUUCAGUAUUAGCGAUUAUAGUAUUACAAAAUGAUUAUGUAGUCAUGAGCGAAUAUUUGGAUUUCUAAAACGUCAUAGCUCUGCGGGAGUGUCCUGUGUAGAAACAACAAUUGCAGUUAGUGGAAAAAAAGGGUGUUUUCUGUAAUUUGACAAUUAGAUUGUUAAUUACAUUCUGUCGUCAUAUAAGGCGUGAAUCUUUCAUCUUACAAAUAAGAACAUACCAAAGCAGUUUUGCAAGUGCACUGUGUUACGUUGUGCGAUACAAUGGUUUAAUAAAGUGUCUAAAGAAAGGCUUGCAGGAGGUGCAUAGAGACACGUUUGCUUGACUGCACUAUUUUAGGCCACAUGGCAGUAACCUUAAGCUAGACCGGCAUGCUUGGCAGUAUAAAUAUACAGGUUCACACCGGCACUCUGGCUCUGUUUACACUGAGCUUGUGACAGCCCUGAGUGAAGAGACGGAUCCUGUCGAUUGGAUAUUGAUUCAACCCACACUGUCCUUCGAAAAGUUGAUGGACGCUUCUACUGUUGUUGACUCACCAAAGUCAUAUGUAUCCUCAUUCGGACUUGCUAUGGACCAGCAGCACGAUUUAUUGAGCUCCUCGGCCAAUAGCCACACAGCUCACUACAACUCUGGUGAUACCAUGGCAACCUCCCUUUCUGGAAUGACCAUCAACGAUCAUCACCAUGGCAACCAAUUCCAUAAUGAGAAUGGAAUUGCGGUGGGGCUCGUGAGACCAGGGGACUGUCCAAUGAAAGGUGAGCUGGCUUAUGUGGGAAAACAGGUUGGUUGUGUCACAGCCAGUCAAAAUAAAUACACACACAUACUGAUUAACUGAUUAGUCAGAACUAUUAAACAAGCUCUGCAGUGUGAACAGGGUGUGUGUGUAUCAUGACAGCAUUCACAUGUAGUUGAAGGACAAGUUUAAUUGUUUUUGAAGCACAUACUGGUAUGGAAUAUGGUCUACACAUUCAGCGGACCUCCUACUACAACUUAAAGGGAUAGUUCACCCCAAAAAAUGAAAAUUUUGUCAUCAUUUACUCACCUUCAUGUUGUUACAAACCUGUAUGAGUUUCUUUAUGUUGAACAUAAAUGAAGGCAUUUUUGAAGAGUGCUGGUAAUCAAACACUUUAUGGUCCCCAUUGACUUCCAUAGUAUUUCUGAUUCUUCAAAAUUCUUUAGAUUAUCUUAUUUUGUGUUUGACAUAAGAAAGAAACCAACACAGGUUUGGAACAACAUAAGGGUGAGU